rnacentral:rRNA from 1 species
AUUCCAGCUCCAAUAGCGUAUAUUAAAGUUGUUGCAGUUAAAAAGCUCGUAGUUGAACCUUGGACAAAGUGCGCGUGGUCUACCGCAAGGUACGACUGCGGCGCUGCGUCUCUUUAGGGGGACUCGAUGCUUCGGUGUCGAGGUAACCCGUGUUACUGUGAAGAAAUUAGAGUGUUUAAAGCAGGCUAUCGCUUGAAUACAUCAGCAUGGAAUAACAAGUUGGACUUUGCUCCUACUUGUUGGUUUGAGGGGAAAAGUAAUGAUUAAUAGGGCCAGUUGGGGGCAUUAGUAUUCAGUAGUCAGAGGUGAAAUUCUUGGAUUUACUGAAGACUAACUAGUGCGAAAGCAUUUGCCAAGGAUGUUUUCAUUG